CUCUGUUUUUCAUCUACAAAACCCCAAGAUGCAGCUUAAGAACCAAGCCUGAAGAGAGUGAGCCUGCCUUCGCCCUGGCCUGCAUUCAGCAGAUCUGUGAGGACUGGUCAGCUGCGGGAAGCCUCUUCAAUGUACCCCCAACCCCUGCUCUCAGGCCUGCAGAGGCACAGGAGGUCAUAAAGGUCAUUUUUACUGAGCUCCAGAAGAUGGAAUGGAAGUGAACAACUGCAAUAAAGGCACA
rnacentral:lncRNA from 1 species